rnacentral:lncRNA from 1 species
GUCAGUUUUUGCAUUGUGUGUGCAUCAUUUCACUGGGUGGGAAGGCUACUAUCUGUAUAUCAGACAUUCAUAUAGGAUACUGUACACUCUAGAACAAUAUGACAUAUAGGUUACUGUAGACUCUAGAACAAUAUGACAUAUAGUUUACUGUACACUCUAGAACAAUAUGAAAUAUAGGUUACUGUAGACUAGACCAAUAUGACAUAUAGGUUACUGUAGACUCUAGAACAAUAUGACAUAAGUUACUGUACUCUCUAGACAAAUAUGACAUAUAGGUUACUGUACACUCUAGAACAAUAUGACAUAUAGGUUACUGUAGACUCUAGAACAAUAUGACAUAUAGGUUACUGUACACUCUAGAACAAUAUGACAUAUACGUUACUGUACACUCUAGAACAAUAUGACAUAUAAGUUACUGUAGACUAGAACAAUAUGACAUAUAGGUUACUGUAGACUAGAACAAUAUGACAUAUAGGUUACUGUAGACUCUUGAAAGAUAUGACAUGUAGGUUACUGUAGACUCUUGAACAAUAUGACAUAUAGGUUACUGUACACUCUAGAACAAUAUGACAUAUAGGUUACUGUAGACUCUAGAACAAUACGACAUAUAGGUUACUGUAGACUAGAACAAUAUGACAUAUAGGUUACUGUAGACUCUUGAAAGAUAUGACAUGUAGGUUACUGUAGACUCUUGAACAAUAUGACAUAUAGGUUACUGUACACUCUAGAACAAUAUGACAUAUAGGUUACUGUAGACUCUAGAACAAUACGACAUAUAGGUUACUGUAGACUAGAACAAUAUGACAUAUAGGUUACUGUAGACUCUAGACCAAUAUGACAUAUAGGUUACUGUACACUCUUGAACAAUAUGACAUAUAGGUUACUGUACACUCUAGACCAAUAUGACAUAUAGGUUACUGUAGACUCUAGAACAAUAUGACAUAUAGGUUACUGUAGACUAGAACAAUAUGACAUAUAGGUUACUGUAGACUCUUGAACAAUAUGACAUAGGUUACUGUAGACUAGGACAAUAUGAGGUAUAGGUUACUGUAGACUCUAGAACAAUAUGAAAUAUAGGUUACUGUAGACUCUAGAACAAGACGACAUAUAGGUUACUGUAGACUCUAGAACAAUAUGACAUAUAGGUUACUGUAGACUCUAGACCAAUAUGACAUAUAGGUUACUGUACACUCUAG